AACGAACGCUGGCGGCAUGCCUAACACAUGCGAGUCGAACGAGACCUUCGGGUCUAGUGGCGCACGGGUGCGUAACGCGUGGGAACCUGCCCUUAGGUUCGGAAUAACUCCCCGAAAGGGGUGCUAAUACCGGAUCAUGUCUUCGGACCAAAGAUUUAUCGCCUUUGGAUGGGCCCGCGUUGGAUUCGCUAGUUGGUAGGGUAAAAGCCUACCAAGGCGACGAUCCAUAGCUGGUCUGAGAGGAUGAUCAGCAACACCGAGACUGAGACACGGCCGAGACUCCUACGGGAGGCAGGAGUGGGGAAUAUUGGACAAUGGGCGAAGGCCUGAUCCAGCAAUGCCGCGUGAGUGAUGAAGUCCUUAGGGUUGUAAAGCUCUUUUACCCGGGAUGAUAAUGACAGUACCGGGAGAAUAAGCUCCGGCUAACUCCGUG
rnacentral:rRNA from 1 species